CUUGUGGCUGAUCCUAGGCGCUGUAAGCCCAAGAAAUUCGGUGGUCGCGGUGCUCGUUCCAGGUUCCAGAAGAGUUAUCGUUAAUGUUGGAUUUGUAUUUUUUAUGCUUCUGUGAUUUCCGAGAAUGCUUUGAAGUUAUGUAUUUUUGGGAUUUUAGAAGUAAAAUGUUAAUGGAUUCUUUUAAUGAUGGUUUUUGAGGGGUUUCUCUUCAUAGACCCGAUUCUUUAAUUUUGUUUUCAGGAUAAUUUGAUCUUUAUAGCUAGUUUAUUAAAAGCAUCAUAUUCUCAUAUGUGUUGAAUGUUUCGCAAUAUAUUGUUGCUAAAUGCUAUGUGGUAAGCUUUUUGUUUUCACAUGUGGCUUUGAUCAA
rnacentral:misc_RNA from 1 species